CUUCCAAACCUCUGGGCACAAUGAGCUGAAGAGUUCUGAAUCCACGAGAUCCUUGGGUCUCCAUACGGGCCACCAAUUUGUUGUGCGCACCUCAUCUGGCAAGGAAAAUGCAACACAGUCGGAUUCUUCUCAACAGCUUUAUUCCUGGAACGCCUUGAUGCUACGGAAACCCUGGGAACGCAGAACCCUAUGGAAAUGCUGUCGUGCUGAGAGUCCAUGGACAGGGAUACCCACAACCAAACAAGAAGAGCCUGAACCUCGGACUAGGCCCACUUUGAGCCCAAGAAGCAGAAGGACAUGUCGUGAACCUUACCUAUUGUGCCGCCAUCGAGCCAGGCUAUGACAUUGGGCCAGACCAGAGAGACUGUAUCCCUAAGUAACUUACCACGCUGAGCUCAAGUUCCUAGGAAGAAACAGAUAAAUAUUUAUACCAGAGGACAGUGUGGAACGAACCCAGCAAAAUGUAGUCCUCACAUUCCCUGACUUCGAGCCACAAGAUUGUCUUCAGCAGAUAGUGGCUUUAUCAAACCAUGGAGAACAGUGUGUCAGCAGACUGUCAGCAAGGCUGUCCCAUUGUUAAACUGGAUUAAAUGACUGCAAAGGCUUGUUUACUGACACUCUUGGAAAGUCUAAGCAUGUCUGGAAACAAAGCGCAAGUAAUAAUACCCAUCUCUCUUAUCUCCUGCUUUUCUCUAUCCUGACUUCAUUUUAAUGUGGACUCUUUCCCUGGCUUCUGGCAGUUCCAAGUUGAUUCCCGCCUCUGCAGCCCAACCCUCCAGCAGACAGGACCUAUCCCACAUCUCCAUCACUUCUGAGUUGGCUUCUAAUAACGUAGUUUGUGUCGUCUUCCCAUUUCUUAGCCAAUAGCUAUGGUCCAAGGGAUGAGAUAUGCUAUGAACCAUGAGUUCACUUCAAAGAAAACUACAUUUUAUAUAAUAAUUUAUAUAAGCAAAAUCAAAAAAGAACAUGCGUAUUCUCAAAGGAAAUUGAUGCCCUUUACCAAAAUGGGAAACUAUUACUGGGUCAACAAAAGCAGAAGUAUUCAACUUUCUUAAUUUGGGGUCUUUCUACAUGGAUGAAGUCAUAUUCUGUCACAUCCUGAGCUCGCAGGGAUUCUAGCAACUCAAGAACAGAAUAUAGUGAUGCAAACUGGAGACCUUGCAAGUGUCCACAGAGAAUAUCCAGGGAUUUUCAUUCUGUGCUGAUAGAAUAUAGACAUUGUGAUUCAAAUGUGGGAAAGGAAACCAAUAAAGAGUGUAAUAGAAUUCCCUAUCAAAGACUAAUGUGUUAGGUUCUUUCUGUUUGAAGACUAGGCAUUAGGGGAACACUCAUAGCAUUAACACAAAGAAUUUUUAGUAUGUAUAGAUUCAUACUGCCUCUUUAAAACUAUAUGACACUUUAGUAGUCUGUGCGCUUUAGACUGGAGUUAUUCUGUAGACCAGAUAACAGUUCUUUGAUUUAUAUGCUAAAUAUAUUUCUAAACAUGAUUUCCCUCCUCCCCGUGUCUCUGAAACAUUAGCCAUCCACAGCAACUGCAAUUAAUAAAUGUGUUCUCUAAGAAUGUGAAUUUUGUAGUUAGACUUCCAGGCUUCACACCCUCACACCAAUAAAAACAAAUAAAAAAAUACUUUCAAUAGCUUUCUAGUUGUGUGGCCUUGGCAAAGCUAAUUAAUUUUUAUAAGUUUUCAUUCCUCACCUUUAAGAUGAAAAUUAAAGCAGUACCUACCUCACAGGCUGAUGUUUUAAUAGACCUAUUGUUUCUAAGGGAUUGAUGUCUACAACAUAUAGUAAUUUCUCGAUAAAGGUUAGCUACUAUUAGGGAUCAUACUUGGAGGCUACAAAUUCAAUUUGAAGGGCAAGGUAAAGCAAAUCGAAUUUUGAUGCUCACAGCAUUUGCCAUGUGCAUUUGUAUCAAAAUCUGCCUGUUCUUCAUAGGGGAGGCUUGCACUUCACACCUCAGUUUAUUAAGGUGAGACAAGUUGAGAAGAUGACACUCCUAGGGGAUUCUGUGCUGCCGUGAAAUUUUGGGAAAAGUUGAAUUUUAAGCAAAGGCCACAUUACUUAGUUUUGGGUAAUGUAGGACAUGACUAAAAAAUAAGGAAAUGAUACCCUUAAAUAUUUAUAAUUUCUAGUACUUCUUUUCAAGAUUGUGUUGGAGGCAAUGACAACAGGCUUGAAACAUCCAGUGUCAUUUCAGAAUACAAAGCUAGUGUCUCUAAGAUCUUAGACUCUGUGCUUACAGAUGUGAGUGAAGAUACUGUGGGGAGUCUUCAUACCUGUCUGAGCUCUGAAUCUCCAUACAUUCUAAUUAAGAGCCUGAUUCUGGGGACCUUAGAAAUGAAGUUGGACAUCUACUUCAUCUAGAACCAGAUGCAUCUCUGAUAGGCCUGUAAUGAGUUGUAUUCUAUAAGAUGUAUAUUAGUGUCUUGUCUGUUCCACUUAAUCCAAGUACCACCAGACUCUCUUACAGGACCAUGAAAAAGAUUAGUAAGCAGAACAGACCAAAGACCGAAUGAGGUUUUUAAUCAUUAUUUACCUCUAUCAAUAAAUACCUUUGCCCUUUUUCAGUUCUCCUCUUUUGGGAAUGCAGAUAAUCCAAGAAAACCUCGAUUUUCUAGAGAUCAGGAAAUAAAUAUAUUUGUUUUUGUUUCAAUUUUGAGUUUAAUUAGUGAGUGGCGCACGCCUUUAAUCCCAGCACUCGGGAGGCAGAGGCAGGCGGAUUUCUGAGUUCGAGGCCAGCCUGGUCUACAAAGUGAGUGCCAGGACUACAAAGGCUACAAAGUGUAGCCAGGGCUACACAGAGAAACCCUGUCUUGAAAAACC